ACGUAGGGGGCAAGCGUUAUUCGGAAUUAUUGGGCGUAAAGCGCUCGUAGGCGGGAAGCCAAGUCCGUGCAGAAAGACCUGGGCUCAACUCAGGGAACGGCACGGAUACUGGUUUUCUUGAGGCAAUCAGAGGGUGAUGGAAUUCCCGGUGGAGCGGUGAAAUGCGUAGAGAUCGGGAGGAACACCAGUGGCGAAGGCGAUCACCUGGGGUUGUUCUGACGCUGAGGAGCGAAAGCUAGGGGAGCGAACGGGAUUAGAUACCCCGGUAGUCCUAGCCGUAAACGAUGGAUACUAGGUGUAUGUGGUAUCGACUCCAUAUGUGCCGUAGGUAACACAAUAAGUAUCCCGCCUGGGGAGUACGGCCGCAAGGUUA
rnacentral:rRNA from 1 species